rnacentral:lncRNA from 1 species
UCGAGUUUCAAACUGAGGGGAUGACAGUCAGCAGCUUCCACCAAGACAAACCUGUGUCUGCUUUGCAGGAGCUUGUCAAGAAUCCUGGUGACUAAGGACUGGUUUGAAAAUAACCGGUAUUGUCCACGGGCUGAUCAUAGGAGUUGGUCUUUGACAGAAUUUCACUCUUGUGGCCCAGGCUGGAGUGCAAUGGCGUGAUCUCAGCUCACUGCAACUUCUACCUCUCGGAUUCAAGUGAUUCUCCUGCCUCAGCCUCCCAGGUAGCUGGGUUUACAGG